GGGAUGGUUCGCCACAUUCGCCGCGAGGCGAAGCCGGAAAGCCACGGGUCCUCUUAGGGGGAAGGGACGGCCGGGUUGCAAUC
rnacentral:ncRNA from 1 species